rnacentral:rRNA from 1 species
UACGUAGGGUGCGAGCGUUGUCCGGAAUUAUUGGGCGUAAAGGGCUCGUAGGCGGUUUGUCGCGUCGGGAGUGAAAACCUCGGGCUUAACUGUGGGCUUGCGGUCGAUACGGGCGGGCUGGAGUUCGGUAGGGGAGACUGGAAUUCCUGGUGUAGCGGUGAAAUGCGCAGAUAUCAGGAGGAACACCGGUGGCGAAGGCGGGUCUCUGGGCCGAUACUGACGCUGAGGAGCGAAAGCAUGGGGAGCGAACAGG